CUUGGCGUGUUAUUGGUCCAAAGCCACAUGGGUCGAAGGUCACUCUAGUGGAUCACACAUCCUUCCUUCCUGGUCGUCCACAACCUGUUUGCCAACCGUACCAGCCAGUUUACUUCCACCAUGAUGUAUUCUUCUGACGUCAAUGGAUGGCAGAGGAACUACAUGAAGAAAGUCCUGACUGUGGCACAAGGAGCAGUGGACAUGGUUGGAGACUGAAGCUGGUUAUAAAAUGCAAUAGCACUGGCGCUG